UUUACAUUGUAGAAAUGAAAUACAUUUUGACAAGGAAUCAAUGAAAAUACUGAACUAUCAACUAGUUGGUAGUAUAGAGGACUACCAAGGCCAUAACGGAUAACGAGAAAUUAGGGUUUGACAUCGGAGAAGGAGCUUUCAAAAUGGCUACUACUUCUAAGGAAGGCAGCAGGGGCGUAAAUUACCCACUUUUAACAGAAAGAGGUAGUGACGACAAAUAACUCUAUUCUUUAACAAAAAGAAUUGAAGGAAUGAACGGAACGUACAUAGUUUUGUGAAAGCAAUUGGAGGGCAAGUCUGGUGCCAGCAGCCGCGGUAAUUCCAGCUCCAAUAGUAUAUAUUAAAGUUGUUGUGAUUAAAAGGCUCGUAGUUGAAUGAAGAUACUAUUGAAAAGGCUUUUCUUUUUAUACAAAAAGAGAAGUUUAGUGAAACAAUAGAAGAAGGAAAUGGAUUACUUUGAAUAAAAUAGAGUGUUUAAAGCAAAACAAUGUUAAUGAAUAAUGAAGCAUGGGACAAUAAGAAGGAGAUUUGAAAGGAUUUCGAGAAGAAGAUUAAAAGGAAUAAUUGGGGUAAUUUAGAAAAAGAUGGAGAGGUGAAAAUCCAUGAUCAUCUUUAGAUAACGAGAGCGAAAGCAUUUUACUCAAUUUAUAUUCAUUAAUC
rnacentral:rRNA from 1 species